UUUGUUCUUGUUUGGUUAGUUGUUUAGUUCCGUGAAACACUCUUGUUGUUUGCAGAAUCUGCCAAUUGUUCCGUCUGAUGGUCCAAUCACAACUGUAAGAAAGACAACUCUUCCAGUGGAAGAUAUAACAAAGGCGUUGGGGAAUAAGGGCUUUGAGGUGAUAUCAUCAGAUGAUGCAGGUCGAUUUGUGUGCAACUAUGUCUAUUACCACUCUCUAAGAUUUGCGGAGCAGAAUAAGACCAAGUCACUCUUUGUUCACGUUCCUCUUUUCGUUGCCGUGGAUGAAGAAACCCAAAUGAGAUUCACGGUUUCUCUGCUGGAGGUACUCGCUUCUGUUUGCAAGUAAUGUUAUCCCAAAUGUGGAUAUUCUUGUUCAUGAAAUGCUCGUCAUGGACUGAUUUGUCUCCCCCACCAAAAAGUUGUCUAUCAAUAAAUGGAAUAUAAGUUCAGUUCUCUACUACAUUCAUUUGCUUCUUCAAAUGUGUUCGCUUAAUGAAAUGAAAUAUGCCUACGUUCCACUGGAUU